GUUCUGUGAGUGAUGAUGACUUUGUUUCUUCGCCCUUGGCAUUUUUGGCGAGAUUGGAACAAGACCCGCUGUGGAAUGCCCCUGAUGAUGCAUUCAUUGUUG